UUUCCGUAGGUGAACCUGCGGAAGGAUCAUUACUGAGUUAGGGUCUUUAUGGCCCGACCUCCAACCCUUUGUUUAAUCUACCAUGUUGCUUUGGCAGGCCCGCUUAGAAAUGGGCCGCCGGAGACCUUUGAGUCUCUGGUCAGUGCCUGCCAGUAGCCUUUCUAAAUUCAUUUAUAACCGUGUCUGAAUAUACAAAGAAAAAUUAAAAUAAAGCUUUCAACAACGGAUCUCUUGGUUCUG
rnacentral:misc_RNA from 1 species